rnacentral:rRNA from 1 species
GGCCGCUGCGUCUCCACCAUCAGAAUACAAACGACUCUCGGCAACGGAUAUCUCGGCUCUCGCAUCGAUGAAGAACGUAGCGAAAUGCGAUACUUGGUGUGAAUUGCAGAAUCCCGCGAACCAUCGAGUCUUUGAACGCAAGUUGCGCCCGA